rnacentral:miRNA from 1 species
GCGUACGACUCUCUCUCUCUCUCUCUCUCUCUCUCUCUCUCUAUUUCUCUCUGAGUCUGCGUGUAGUAAAACUGGCUCGCACAGACAAGACAGCAUUAUUUAUGACUUUCUAAUGAGACAGAGAGAGAGAGAGAGAGAGAGAGAGAGAGAGAGAGAGAGCAAGUCAGCCU